rnacentral:rRNA from 1 species
AUUGAACGCUGGCGGCAGGCCUAACACAUGCAAGUCGAACGGUAACAGGAAGCAGCUUGCUGCUUUGGUGACGAGUGGCGGACGGGUGAGUAAUGUCUGGGAAACUGCCCGAUGGAGGGGGAUAACUACUGGAAACGGUAGCUAAUACCGCAUAACGUCGCAAGACCAAAGAGGGGGACCUUAGGGCCUCUUGCCAUCGGAUGUGCCCAGAUGGGAUUAGCUAGUAGGUGGGGUAACAGCUCACCUAGGCGACGAUCCCUAGCUGGUCUGAGAGGAUGACCAGCCACACUGGAACUGAGACACGGUCCAGACUCCUACGGGAGGCAGCAGUGGGGAAUAUUGCACAAUGGGCGCAAGCCUGAUGCAGCCAUGCCGCGUGUAUGAAGAAGGCCUUCGGGUUGUAAAGUACUUUCAGCGGGGAGGAAGGGAGUAAAGUUAAUACCUUUGCUCAUUGACGUUACCCGCAGAAGAAGCACCGGCUAACUCCGUG